rnacentral:tRNA from 1 species
CAAUUUAUAGCUUAAUAAAAGCAUCUUGCUUACACCAAGAAAACACCCGUUAAAACCUGGUUAAAUUGA